UACGGGGGGGGGCAAGCGUUGUUCGGAAUUACUGGGCGUAAAGGGCUCGUAGGCGGCCAACUAAGUCGGAUGUGAAAUCCCCCAGGCUCAACUUGGGAACUGCAUCCGAUACUGGAUGGCUUGAAUUCGGGAGAGGGAUGCAGAAUUCCAGGUGUAGCGGUGAAAUGCGUAGAUAUCAAGAGGAACACCAGUGGCGAAGGCGGGUCCCUGGACAACACCUGACACUGAGGCACGAAAGCUAGGGGAGCAAACAGG
rnacentral:rRNA from 1 species